CCUACGGGAGGCAGCAGUGGGGAAUAUUGCGCAAUGGGCGAAAGCCUGACGCAGCGACGCCGCGUGAGGGAUGAAGGUCUUCGGAUCGUAAACCUCUGUCAGCAGGGAAGAACGGUCACUGUGCUAAUCAGCAGUGCAUUGACGGUACCUGCAAAGGAAGCACCGGCUACCUCCGUGCCAGCAGCCGCGUUAAUACGGGGGGUGCGAGCGUUAAUCGGAAUUACUGGGCGUAAAGCGCUCGUGGGCGGGCUGUCAAGUCAAGGGUGAAAUCCCCGCGCUCAACGGGGGAACUGCCUUUGAAACUGGUAAACGGGAGUGUGAGAGAGGAGAGUGGA
rnacentral:rRNA from 1 species